rnacentral:rRNA from 1 species
ACCUCGGAUCAGGUAGGGAUACCCGCUGAACUUAAGCAUAUCAAUAAGCGGAGGAAAAGAAACCAACAGGGAUUACCUCAGUAACGGCGAGUGAAGCGGUAACAGCUCAAAUUUGAAAGCUGGCUCUUUUAGGGUCCGCGUUGUAAUUUGUAGAAGAUGCUUCGGGUGUGGCCCCGGUCUAAGUUCCUUGGAACAGGACGUCAUAGAGGGUGAGAAUCCCGUAUGUGACUGGGUGCUUUCGCUCAUGUGAAGCUCUUUCGACGAGUCGAGUUGUUUGGGAAUGCAGCUCAAAAUGGGUGGUAAAUUUCAUCUAAAGCUAAAUAUUGGCCAGAGACCGAUAGCGCACAAGUAGAGUGAUCGAAAGAUGAAAAGCACUUUGGAAAGAGAGUUAAACAGUACGUGAAAUUGUUGAAAGGGAAGCGCUUGCAACCAGACUUGCGCGCUGAUGAUCAUCCGGGCUUCUGCCCGGUGCACUCGUCUGCGCUCAGGCCAGCAUCGGUUUCGGUGGUGGGAUAAAGGCCUUGGGAAUGUGGCUCCUCUCGGGGAGUGUUAUAGCCCUCGGUGCAAUGCCGCCAACCGGGACCGAGGACCGCGNU